GGGCUUGUAACUCAGCGGUAAUUCUCACAAAGUUUUGGAUUCUCGACGUCUACUUACGAUUCCACCAGGUUAGAGUGUGAGAUUGCAGAUCUCAAGGUCGAUGGUUCGAGUCCGUCCAGGCCCU